rnacentral:lncRNA from 1 species
GUAUGCCCCUCUAGUGGUUUCCCUGGUAGCUAAUGAGCCCACCUGAUGUCAAUUCCUCCCAUAACCCACAAUCUCUGGAGAGAGAGAAGACGGCCGCCAUGUCCUGCUUGUCCUCGGCUGCACACAGUGGGGUAUUGCUCCAGGACCUUGCUGCAGACACAAUCGAGAGAAACAAGGAAUGAUGUGGCUAGCACGGAGGCAUCAGGGACACUUAGGACACCUCUGUGCUCUGGAAUGCACUCUGCACUGCAGCAUCACGAAAGAAAAAAUGAAACAGUGUGGAGAGAUGGAGAAGAACACACUGGGGAGUAAGUUAGACGGUAAGAAAGGACACACAUGUCUCAAAAAGGAAAGACUAAUUAUCCCAAUGGUAUUCCUGAGAUCAGGGCAAGGGAUCCAGGCAUACAUGGCAGAAAAUACAAAUGGGAACCCCUAGUAAGACCUCUCAUACCCAACCACAGCUCUGCCUCGGGACCACAGCAAAAUGAGUCCAAUUGACAAAGAGACUCUCAUAGUUUUCCCACAUCUCCUGUAAGAGUUCCAG